rnacentral:tRNA from 1 species
GCCAGCAUGGCUCAGUGGUUGAGCCAUGACUAUGAACCAGGAGGUCAGGGUUCAAUUCCCAGUCAGGGCA